ACGAGUGCUGGCACUUGCCUGGGCAGAGGAUGCACAGCGGGCAGAAGCGUGAGUGGACCGGCGGAGGCACACGCAGCAGAGGAGGUGGCGGAAGGUGCGGCGCAUCUCAGCAUCUCGGCAUGAGUACACUACAGCAUUGACCAGCGAAUUGGCCUCGGCCAAGAGUAGGAAAUACUUCUCUACAGCCAGGACAUUGCAGGAUUUGCAGUCCAGACCGUCCAGGAGCAGUACCACCUGGCCUGGUGUCCAGCAGACCACAAAUGCCCCUGUGGGAUGGAGGCCGAGAUUAAGAACCAGCCCCUGGUGUGGACCCUCUUGGCUUGGCAGCUGCUAUGCGGGAAACAUUUCAGCGAUGAGGAGGUGAAAGGGGCUGGCAUAGGUGGAGCCCAGCCAUGUCCAUACCCGGUGGGACGCGUUCUGGAUCUCCCUGAUCACGGCUUUGGAGUCGGCCUUGAGUGGACAGGA